rnacentral:rRNA from 1 species
CCUACGGGAGGCAGCAGUGGGGGAUAUUGCACAAUGGGCGAAACCCUGAUGCAGCGACGCCGCGUGGGCGAAGAAGUAUUUCGGGAUGUAAAGCCCUAUCAGCAGGGAAGAAGAAAUGACGGUACCUUAGUAAGAAGCACCGGCUAAAUACGUGCCAGCAGCCGCGGUAAUACGUAUGGUGCAAGCGUUAUCCGGAUUUACUGGGUGUAAAGGGAGCGCAGGCGGGACGGCAAGCCUGAUGUGAAAGCGCGCGGCCCAACCGCGGGACUGCAUUGGGAACUACCGGGCUGGAGUGCCGGAGAGGUAGGCGGAAUUCCGAGUGUAGCGGUGAAAUGCGUAGAUAUUAGGAGGAACACCAGUGGCGAAGGCGGCCUACUGGACGGUGACUGACGCUGAGGCGCGAAAGCGUGGGGAGCAAACAGGAUUAGAUACCCCAGUAGUC